GGCCCGUUAGCUCAGUUGCUUAGAGCGUCGUGCUAAUAACGCUGAAGGUCGUGGGUUCGAUCCCCACGGGCCA
rnacentral:tRNA from 1 species